rnacentral:rRNA from 1 species
GAUGAACGCUGGCGGCGUGCCUAAUACAUGCAAGUCGAGCGAACAGAUGAGGAGCUUGCUCCUCUGACGUUAGCGGCGGACGGGUGAGUAACACGUGGAUAACCUCCCUAUAAGACUGGGAUAACUUCGGGAAACCGGAGCUAAUACCGGAUAAUAUAUUGAACCGCAUGGUUCAAUAGUGAAAGACGGUUUUGCUUUCACUGAUAGAUGGAUCCGCGCCGCAUUAGCUAGUUGGUAAGGUAACGGCGUACCAAGGCAACGAUGCGUAGCCGACCUGAGAGGGUGAUCGGCCACACUGGAACUGAGACACGGUCCAGACUACUACGGGAGGCAGCAGUAGGGAAUCUUACGCAAUGGGCGAAAGCCUGACGGAGCAACGCCGCGUGAGUGAUGAAGGUCUUCGGAUCGUAAAACUCUGUUAUUAGGGAAGAACAAAUGUGUAAGUAACUAUGCACGUCUUGACGGUACCUAAUCAGAAAGCCACGGCUAACUACGUG